CACGGGGGGAGCAAGCGUUGUUCGGAAUCACUGGGCGUAAAGGGAGCGUAGGCGGGCUUCUAAGUUAGGUGUUUAAUCCCAGGGCCCAACCCUGGUCAGGCACCUAAAACUGGGAGUCUUGAAUAGUGGAGAGGACGAUGGAAUUGGGGGUGUAGCGGUGGAAUGCGUAGAGAUCCCCAAGAACACCAGUUGCGAAGGCGGUCGUCUGGACACAUAUUGACGCUGAGGCUCGAAAGCAUGGGGAGCAAACAGG
rnacentral:rRNA from 1 species